CUCACAGAUGAAGAAAUUGAGGCUCAAACAGGUUAGGUGGUUUUGCCUAGUUACUCAGCUUCUAAAUAUUGAUUGAACUCAUCUUGUCAUCAGAGGCCAAGGAACUGUGCCAAAGAAAUUUGAGGGCACAUGAAGAAGGGUAAAGGCUCAAGAACCAAAGCCAGGAGGUUGCCUCGUAAGGCCUCAGGACUGGCAAUGAGGGAACCUAAAUUCUAACUCCAACUCUGCCAGCUCAUGCUAAUUGCCUGCUCAACUGAGUUACCCAAGAAAAGCUGAGAUGGUAAAGUUAUAUCCAGGCUCUCUGUGACCUGCUUGCAAUGAAGACACAUAUCAGUUCAAUAAAGCUCAGACAGAAUGACAGUGACAGCUGCCUCAUGGCAUUCAGCAUGAAGUGAGCAGAUCUAUUUAGCAGUUCCAGGACCAAGUGUUUCAUUACAGCCCGGCUGCUCUAAGAGAAACAACCUAAACCCAGCCUAAAGUGCUCCACUUCAUCAUUUGCCACAGGGCCCGAGUCGCCACUCAAGAGUACCUCUACCUUGAUGGUUUUGCUCUUCUUGACUUUUUACACAAACUUUCUCGGAGCUGAAAUACCCAGUCAACACGCUGUUUGUUCAGACUUCCCACCUGCAACAGCUUUUGGGCUGGCGGAGGAAGGAGAAACUCUCAGCCCAGAAAAGUUUGCUGUAGGACCUAAGGAGCAGAGAAAGUGUCAUGGGGGCCAGACAGUCCAGUGAGAUCUUCAAGAACAAGGAAUCCAAGGGAAUAUUGUUCCUAAAGAACAGGCAGAAGUUUUCUCAAUGGGAUGACGUCCUUCUGGGAAAGGACCCAAGGUCGUUGCUGAAGCGCGGCAUGAACUAUAUCAGCUUCAGUUUGGUCACUAAGGGCAUGACUAACAUUCCCGACUUUCUUUGGAGACUGACCGAGGUCCAGAAGCUCAACUUUUCCCAUAACCAGCUCAAGGAAGUCCCCUCAGAGAUGGGGAGACUGACGAGAAUUGUGGUGCUGAAUCUGAGUGGGAAUCGCAUAAAGAGCCUGCCCAAGGAAAUUGGGCAGCUCCAGAGCUUAAAGGUCCUGUUUCUGAACAUGAAUUGCCUGACAGAGAUGCCAUCUGAGCUGAACCACUGUAAGAACCUGGAAGUCUUGAGUUUGUCCCACAACUUCAUCACCCACCUCCCCUGCAUCUACUCAGAACUUUCCAAAUUGAAGAAACUGAAUCUGAGCAACAACCACUUUGCUCACAUCCCCAUCUUUGUGUUCUCGCUGAAGGAGUUAGAUUUCCUUCACGUAGGUUCCAACAGGCUGGAAAAUAUUGCCGAGAGCAUCCAGAAUCUGACAAAUUUACAGAUUUUCAUCGCGGAGAACAACAACAUCCACUCCUUCCCGAGGUCUCUCUGCUUGGUUACAACACUUGAGCUGCUCAACUUGAACAACAAUGAUAUCCAGACACUUCCUGAUGAACUCUACCAGCUCAAUCGAUUGACCAGGAUCGCCUGGAAUCCCAUGGACAAAGGACUGCAUAUUUCUCAAAACCCUCUCGCCAAGCCUUUGCCAGAUCUGAUGGAGGGGGGACUAGACGUGCUUUUCAACUAUCUGAAGGACAAAAAGCACGGGUGAUUUGUCCAGAUGAAACGUGGCUAUGGACCCCUCAUCCACACUCGUUCCCACUGGUGCACUUUCCUGGUCUUCCUUCUUAGGGUUUGCAAAUGCUUUUAUUUCAAACUUGCUGAAUAAUCAUCGAAUGGAUCACUGAUGAUGGCUCAGAAAUCACAUCUACCAGUUCUUUUGGUUGUUCAUCUAGGCCAGGUGACUUGAAUUCACCAAGAACUUUCCUGCCUCCUAACUUAUCUUGGGUUGCUGAGUUUUACGGCAAAAAUUAUUUCUUUUGAUUCAAAGAAGCCUCUCUUUGAAACAACUGUCAUUCUCUAGCUGAUAAAACAGGAACUUCCAGGUGCAUAGCUAAUUUAAUUCAAAGGCCAUACAUGAGAUGCCAUUUCACUUCCCUGAACUUUGAAAAAAAACAGGGUCUGCUAAAAAAAAAAAUUCUAUUUAAAUUUACAUUCCCUUCUAAAGGAAUUUCCUCUGACUAGGAUUGAGUACAGUGGCAGGCAACCAAAGGACACUCAGGAAAUGCUUAUUGAUGUGCUGAUUUGUUUAUGGCUCACACAAGACCCAUACAAAUAGUAUUUGAAUGCAAUUUUGAUGAUGAUGGGAGAGUGUCCUUGCUAAAUGUCAGUGUACUUCAUACUGAGCCACUCUGAUGUUUGAAAAUGAUCGUAUCCAUGUAAAAGCAUAGUAUUAAAUCUUCUCUAGUUCUUCUUAAAUAAAACACUGAUAUAGUCAAUGUGAUUAAUGGUAACACCAUUACAUUGAUGGACAGAUCAAUAUAAUGAUGUUAUUGCUCAUGAUGGAAUAGGUGUUCUCAUUAUAUUGAUGGUUUCAUUGUCAUCCACAUGCAGGCUGUCAUCUACGUUGGAAUUUAAAGCCCCCAAAUGCUAGUCAUUUAAGAGUCAUUCUUAAGGUUUGAUAUUUAUGGGGCAGUUAGGUGAUCACAAUGGAUAGAAUUCUGGGUCUGGAAUAGAGAAAAUCUGAGUUCAAAAUUAGCUGUAGACUUUACUAGCUGUGUCACUCUGGAUAAGUCACUUAAACUUUGCCUCAAUUUCCUCAUCUGUAAAAUAGGGAUAAUAAUAGCUAAAGAAUGUUAAAAUUUCCAAACAAUUGUGCUCAUUUCACAUGCCAUCAGGGUUAUACUUAAGAGUUUAUAAGCUAGGCUUCAGCAAUGAGAACUAAGAAUUACCAGAAGAGCAGGCUGUUUUUUUGAAGAGGCAGAGGUUGUAGAGACCAAAUUGCCAACAUUAACUGGAUUAUAGAGAAAUCAAGGGAAUUCCAGAAAUACAUCUACUUCUGCUUCACUGACUAUACUAAAGCCUUUGACUGUGUCUAUCACAACAAAAUAUGUCAAGUCCUUAAAAAGAUGGGAGUACCAGAUCAUCUUCUCUCCUGAGGAACUUGUAUAUGGUUGAGAAACAACUGUUAGAAAUGAACAUAGAACUGAUUGGUUUAAGAUGGAGAAAUAAAUCUGACAAGACUAUUUUCACUUUAUUUAACUUGUAUGUAAAGUACAUCAAUAAAUCAUGAGAAAUUCCAGGCUUGAUGAAUCAAAGGCUAGAAUUAAGGUUUUGGGGAGAAAUAUUAACAAUCACAGAUUGUAGAUGAUAUCUCUGUGAUGGCACACAGUGAAGAAGAAUUAAGAAGUCUUUUGAUGAAUUUGAAAGAGGAGAGUGUGAAAGGUGGAUUGAAACUUAACAUUAAAAAAAAAAAACAAAUAAAACUAAGAUCAAGUAGUAUAGUGGGUAGAUCACCAGGCCUGGAGUUGGGAGGAUCUGGGUUCAAAUCUAGUUUGAGACAUUCCCUAGCUGUAUGAACCUGGGCAAGUCAUUUAAUCUCCAAUUACCUAACUUUUGCUGUUUUUCUGUCUCAGAAAUGAUACUAGGACAGAAGGUAAGGCUAAAAAACCCCUAAGAUCAUGGCAACUAGUCCCAUUACUUCCUGUAAAAUAGAGGGAGAAGAAAUGGAAGCAAUGUCAGAUUUCUUGGGCUCAAAGAUGACUGCAGAUGGUGACUGCAGCCAAGAAAUUAAAAGACACUCCUUUGAAGGAAAGCUAUGGCAAAUCUAGAUAGCAUGCCAAAAAGCAGAGACAUCACCUUGCCAACAAAGGUCAGUAUAGUCAAAGCUAAUAGUAUUUCCAAGUAGUAAUGUAUGGCUGUGAGAGUUGGAAUAUUCAGAAAUCUGUCACCACAGAAUCAGUGCUUUUGAAUUAUGGUGCUGGAGAAGAUUUUUGAGAGUCUCUUAGACCAGCAAGGAGAUCAAAUCAGUCAAUAAUUAAAAAAAUGAAUUUAGACUACUUAUUGAAAGGACAAAUACUAAAGACUACAUAAUGAGAAGAUAGGACUCAUUAAAAAAGACUUUGAUGUUGGGAAAAAUUGAAGGCAAAAGGAAAAGAGGACAGUGGAAAAUAAAAUGGAUAGCUACUGUGUAGAUUUUAAAAUUAAUGUCCAAUAUUCUAUUUAACAAGGUUUAUUAAAUUUUAACUUGAAGCAAAAAGGAAACUAAAAGGCUUAGGUCCACAGGGAGCUCACCCAAGUCACCCACGUGGAAGAGAGAGCUAGAGGGAGGAGCCACCUCAACUAUAUAUACAAAACAUAGCAAGCCAUGUACAGGAAAGGGAAAGGGGUAUUUUGGGAAAUGUAGUCCUGGGUACAACAUUCUAACUACACAACUGUUAUGGAAGCAAUAAUAAACAUGAGCUUGGACAGACUUUGGGAGAUAGUGGAGGCUAGAUAAGCCUGGCAUGCUAUAGUCCAUGGGAAAAUGAAGAGUUAGACAUGAUUAAAUGAAUGAACAUUUCCUUCUUUUUAAAUAUUAAAUUAAUUAUUAACAGGGCCAUUGUGAAGAUCAAAUGAGAUAAUAAUUGUAAAAUAUUUAACCCUGUGCCUGGCACAUAGUAAUGGUGUAUAAAUGUUUUAUUGAUUUUGUUAAAUAUUUCUAAAUUACACUUAAAAAAAUCCCCAACAAUCCUUAUCUUCUGUCUUAAAAUAUGGUAAGGGCUAGGCAAUUGGGGUUAAGUGAUUUGUCCAGGGUCACACAGUUAGGAAGUGUCUGAGGUCUGAUUUGAACUCAGGACCUCCUUUCUCUAGGCCAGACUCUCAAUCCACUGAGUUACCUAGCUGCCCCAUUGGCCAAUUACAUUUUAAUCUGGUUCAGUCUCCAUCCAGGAGUGUCCCUGGGAUUGUGCAGCCAGCUAACAGUGUGUCUGACACUCCUUCAUGAAGUACAAUGCCUAAUCAUAGUAGAAAUGUAGUUUUGCCUGGACCUGCCCCAAACAAAAUUGUGUAGAAGAUAUAGAUGUCCAGUGCCCUAAGUCUUCCUUUUCCCCUUAUCCUUUUUCUCAAGUUACUCCUUGAAUACCCAGCCCAGCCCAGGCUAUGCUCUUCUAAUUUUCAUUAAUUUUUUCUUGAUAUGCAAAAGGAGAAAUCAUUUAUGCUUGAGAGAGUAAAAGUCAGUGUGUUACUUGUCCUAGUGAUCUAGAGAAAGAACAUUAAUGGAAAUAAGUAA